UUCAGCUGCAAAUUUGAACUU
ensembl:piRNA 21ur-2526 ncRNA